rnacentral:rRNA from 1 species
GUGGGGAAUUUUGGACAAUGGGCGCAAGCCUGAUCCAGCAAUGCCGCGUGCAGGAAGAAGGCCUUCGGGUUGUAAACUGCUUUUGUACGGAACGAAACGGUCCUGGUUAAUACCUGGGGCUAAUGACGGUACCGUAAGAAUAAGCACCGGCUAACUACGUGCCAGCAGCCGCGGUAAUACGUAGGGUGCGAGCGUUAAUCGGAAUUACUGGGCGUAAAGCGUGCGCAGGCGGUGCUGUAAGACAGGCGUGAAAUCCCCGGGUUCAACCUGGGAAUUGCGCUUGGGACUGCAGUGCUGGAGUACGGCAGAGGGGGAUGGAAUUCCGCGUGUAGCAGUGAAAUGCGUAGAUAUGCGGAGGAGCACCGAUGGCGAAGGCAGUCCCCUGGGCCUGUACUGACGCUCAUGCACGAAAGCGUGGGGAGCAAACAGGAUUAGAAACCCGGGUAGUCC